rnacentral:rRNA from 1 species
AUGGCUUCAUCCGGUUCCAUGACGAGGCCCCCGUGUGCUAACCGUGAGGGCAUGCCGGACAACUGGGCAGAGGCCAAGUUGGAUAAUGUGAAGGACAAAGAUAUGAGGACUCCAUCAUGUUGGUGUGGAGAUGUUUGCAAAGUGAAGGUAUCCACCGACCACAAGAAGUCAUGGACAGAAGGAAGAAGGUAUUUUGUUUGUCCCAACUAUGCAUAUGAUCAUCCUCGUCCAACUCACGCCUAUGAUGUACCGUCGGUAUGUUGUUAA